CCCGACUAGUGCUGAACGUGAUCCAGAACGUGUGGAAUGUGGAAUAUCCCGGCAGUGCUUCGGAGCAGAGUGCUGUUGGAGAUCUAGAGGCCAGGCUGAUGUUUUUUUCUGGGCAAGGAAGAGCUACAGGGGCUUUAUUCUAUGGAACAAACAGUACAUUCAUGGCUCAGACAUGAAAAGUUGCCACCAAUUUUCCAUGGCUCUUUGGCAACUUAUUUACUAAAAUUUGUUCUUCAAUUUUCCUACCUUUAAACAGAGGCUAGUAGUGCUAAAUUUA